rnacentral:lncRNA from 10 species
GCGGCCUCGGGGCACGGCGGGCCCAGGCCGGAGGAGCUUUCGGUGGCGCGACCCCGCUGGCAUGCUCCCGGCCUCGGCCUCGGCCUCGGCCUUGGCCUCCGGGCCUCCAGCGCACGCGGGGCGUCCAGGGCCUCAUCUUCCCCUGGGGACCGCCCGGCCGUGUCCCGCUGCCCUCGGCGCAGGGGUGGGAGUUGCAGAGAGGAAGAGUCGCUAACCCGGAGUGUUUCUUAAAACUUGGCUGACCUGUGACCUGCGGAUUUGGAGGCUGAAUUCUCCGAGCACCUGUGAGUGACAGCCCGUGAAUGGGAAGGUCCUUCGGCAAACGCCCUUUUUGUGAAUAAAAUACAUAAAAGCCAGUUUCUUUAUUUUACCUUUCUGUUUAUCUUUUUACUUUCAUUUGGUAACAAGCAAUAACAAAUUGGAAAUUUGGCCGCUUAAGUAACACUGACUUGUAUGUCUAAUCUCGGACACGGCAUUUCAGAGUACAGAGGGGCUCGUAAAAUGUUCCUUCACCAACAUGACAAGGUUCUCUUAAAAUUACCUUAUGUUAAAAAAAAGUUUCUUAAUGUAAUAGAUAUAUUUUUAAAUUAACAUAUAACCUGAAUGAUCUUAAUACUGAUAAUUAGGAGAUAUACAUAUAUUUUAAAGAACAUUCCCUCCACAGGACCUGGAACCCAUUAAUUUGACUCAAUAUUCCAUACUUAACUAGGACAGUCUUCUCUAAUUCUGGUCUUUUGGUGAGAUAUCUUAGAGAACCCAAAGUAACAGAAAUUAUCCUGUUAAAAAUAGAUAAGCCUCAUUUUUCCUAAAAGUCUGAGUAGGAUGGACUAGGCUUUCCUUGCCCUCAAAGAAAGGUUUAACCAACUGCCCUUAAGCACUUGGCACCAUGUGUACACCAUGUAUGGCUUUUAAAAAGUUAAGAAAUUUCCUUGUAAGGGACUCUUCAGAGGGAUGGUUUUUAAAAAUAAACCAUCAUUACUUGAGUGAAGCCUGUCUUCAGAGAAACAGCAGAGCCCUGAUCCAAUUCUUUCCUGUAUUCCCAGGUGCGGUGUGCACUUGCUUCUUGCAAGACAGCUUUUGUACCUAACCACAUUCAUUUUGAUUUGGUUUAAUUUUGGAUGGCACUAUGGAAAGUAGCUAAAAUAAACAGGAAGCUACUGCAGGAUAUAAUCUAAGAAAAUAAGGGGAAGAAAACAAGAAAGAGGAAGACAUUGGAUCCAAGAAAUGGGGGAUCUAUCACCUUACAGAUGAAAAGAGAAUCUACAUGAUCUUUGUGAAGGUGAUUUGAGCAUAGCAGCUCUGCAGGAAACCUGGAGAGCAACAAGUGAGAUUAAUACAGGACACACAGCUCUAGUAAGGAUGUCACUAAGGAAAUUAAAAUCAUUUGUUGUAGAAUACUUUAUGAAUCAAUGCAGUAAGAGGAGGUUUACACUUCUGGUGAAGAAUAGGGAAUGAAUUUGUGAUAGGCAUGUAGAAAAUUAUGCAAACAAAUAAAAUAAUAAUCAACUCCUGGGAAAAUAGGAAUUUGUACCAAAAGUGUCAAUAUAAUCUUAUAUAUAUAUGCCUCAGUUUUGAAUAAUAUUUGUCAUUUUAAUUAUGUAAAAACUGAAUAAUUAUCGGCCGGGCACAGUGGCUUACGCUUGUAAUCCCAGCACUUUGGGAAGCUGAGGCAGGUGGAUCACCUGAGGUUAGGAGUUCGAGACCAGCCUGACCAACAUGGAGAAACCCCGUCUCUACUAAAAAUACAAAAUUAGCUGGGCGUGGUGGCGCAUGCCUGUAAUCCCAGCUACUCUGGAGGCUGGGGCAGGAGAAUCGCUUGAACCCAGAAGGCGGAGGUUGCUGUGAGCCGAGAUUGCGCCAUUGCACUCCAACCUGAGCAACAAGAGCAAAACUCCAUCUCAAAACAAAACAAAACAAAACAACAAAAAACUCAAUAAUUAUCAGAGAAAAACACUGUAAUAUAACUAUAUUGAAAGAAUAAGAAGAGAAUGUAAGAGACUAAAUCCGUAUCUCCCACAGAAGGGAGUCAUAGAUAAUAAUAUCUGGAACUGAAAAAAAAAUCAAGAAACAGCAGUUUAAAAUGUGGAGAUAAACACCAAAAGAAACAGCUGAGGCCAGGUGUGGUGGCUCACACUGAAAGACUUGAGCAAGUUUGCUUUUGGGAAUGGAAAUGGAAUUAGAACAUGCAGGUUGUACAGGGAAAAGGGCUGCUCUUUGUCUUUUAGACUUUGAGGAGCUAUUUGGCUUUUAAAGCUCUGUGCAUUUAUAACUUAGAUGGAAAAUAUAAACAAUUUUAGAAAGAAAAAUGACAAUAUAUGUAUUUUUGAGAU